rnacentral:rRNA from 2 species
GACGAACCGUCCAAACGUUGUUCGGAAUCACUGGGCUUAAAGGGCGCGUAGGCGGGCCAUCAAGUCGGGGGUGAAAUCUUUCAGCUCAACUGGAAAAGAGCUUCCGAUACUGGUGGUCUCGAGGGAGGUAGGGGUCGAUGGAACUUCCGGUGGAGCGGUGAAAUGCGUAGAUAUCGGAAGGAACGCCGGUGGCGAAAGCGAUCGACUGGACCUUUUCUGACGCUGAGGCGCGAAAGCCAGGGGAGCAAACGGG